GGAGUUAGCCGGUGCUUCUUCUGCGAGUAACGUCACAGAUGUAAGGUAUUAACUUACACCCUUUCCUCCUCGCUGAAAGUGCUUUACAACCCGAAGGCCUUCUUCACACACGCGGCAUGGCUGCAUCAGGGUUUCCCCCAUUGUGCAAUAUUCCCCACCUGCUGCCUCCCGUAGGAGUCUGGGCCGUGUCUCAGUCCCACGUGUGGCUGAUCAUCCUCUCAGACCAGCUAGGGAUCGUCGCCUAGGUGAGCCUUUACCUCACCUACUAGCUAAUCCCACCUGGGCUUAUCCAUCAGCGCAAGGCCCGAAGGUCCCCUGCUUUCCCCCGUAGGGCGUAUGCGGUAUUAGCAGUCGUUUCCAACUGUUAUCCCCCACAAAUGGGCAAAUUCCCAGGCAUUACUCACCCGUCCGCCGCUCGUCAUCUUCAAAAGCAAGCUUUUGAAAUGUUACCGCUCGACUUGCAUGUGUUAGGCCUGCCGCCAGCGUUCAAUCUGAGCCAGAAUCAAACUCUGA
rnacentral:rRNA from 1 species